CACGUAGGGCGCAAGCGUUGUCCGGAAUUAUUGGGCGUAAAGAGCUCGUAGGCGGUCUGUGCGUCCGCUGUGAAACUCGGGGCUUAACCCCGAGCCUGCAGUGGAUACGGGCAGACUAGAGGUAGGUAGGGGAGAAUGGAAUUCCCGGUGUAGCGGUGAAAUGCGCAGAUAUCAGGAAGAACACCCGUGGCGAAGGCGGCUCUCUGGGACGGUACUGACGCUGAGACGCGAAAGCGUGGGGAGCGAACAGG
rnacentral:rRNA from 1 species